UAGGGAAUCUUCGGCAAUGGGGGCAACCCUGACCGAGCAACGCCGCGUGAGUGAAGAAGGUUUUCGGAUCGUAAAGCUCUGUUGUAAGAGAAGAACGUGUGUGAGAGUGGAAAGUUCACACAGUGACGGUAACUUACCAGAAAGGGACGGCUAACUACGUGCCAGCAGCCGCGGUAAUACGUAGGUCCCGAGCGUUGUCCGGAUUUAUUGGGCGUAAAGCGAGCGCAGGCGGUUUAAUAAGUCUGAAGUUAAAGGCAGUGGCUUAACCAUUGGUCGCUUUGGAAACUGUUAAACUUGAGUGCAGAAGGAGAGAGUGGAAUUCCAUGUGUAGCGGUGAAAUGCGUAGAUAUAUGGAGGAACACCGGUGGCGAAAGCGGCUCUCUGGUCUGUAACUGACGCUGAGGCUCGAAAGCGUGGGGAGCAAACAGG
rnacentral:rRNA from 1 species